UAUUUACUGAGUGCCUCCCAUGUGCCAGGCCCUGCUUUUGUGGAUCUUGCAGUUUGGGUGGCAAGUAAAUCUUGAACAAACUCUUCUGAUGCACUCUGCUGUGAACUCUUAGGAGGACAAUAAUUACUGUAUAUUGAGGAAGAAACAUGGGUCACAUUACCAUUUCAACCUCUUGUUUACCUGAUGAGAUUAUACAAGGUUUAUCUCAGAAUGGAGAACUGAGCACAAGGGAAGAACAGGAAAAACAAAAGGAGAUGGAGAUGAAGAAAUGGCAGAAACUGGAAGAGAAGUAGAGAAUGAAACAAAGGAAACAAAGAGACAAAGAGGAAUACUACAGACAAAAGGACAAAGCAGAGUGAGUCUGCAGGCUAAAUAAUUACUGCUGUGUUGAAAUUCAGUGUCAUUAGGGUGCAUCUAAUUCUCACAGCACGUGCCCCCCAAAGAAGGAAAUAACAGGAGUAUAAAUCACUUAGCCAGUACUUAUGGAGACUUCAUUCCAUAUUAGAGCUAUAUAUAUAUAAUAUAUAUAUUAUAUAUAUUACAUCAGGAUUAGUGUUAGCUCUGUGAAAUGAAACAUCAAUAAGAGGACCAUAUGGUGCUGACUGUAUCCCCAACUAAUAUUUCAGCUCAGUUUCAAUUAUCAUAUUCAUCUGGCAGAAGCAUGGUGCCAGUAAACAGAAAUGGGUCACGGGAAGCCUAGGUGCUUGUUCUGGCAUACAUAUCAUUAUAUGACCUUGAGUGGCCAACUUCUGGGGCUCAGUUUCUUCAUUUGUUAAAUAUGAAUAAUAAUUCUCUGUUCUACUUAUUCCA